rnacentral:lncRNA from 1 species
AGAAAUUCAUUACUUCAUACCAAGAUGUCAAGUUUUCCGAAAUUAUUUUUCACAAAUUCAGCAAGGGAAAUAAUGCUAUCAGGGUCAACCACAUCAAGUUGAUGGUAAAUCACAAGGUCAUCAGAGAUGCCAGAAUCUUUCAGCUUUUGAACAGCUUCAAGACCCCUUUUUUCAUCUCUGGCUGUUAACACCACCAAAAUCCCAUUAGAAGCCAACUGCCUACAUAUUUCAUAUCCAAUCCCCUUGUUUGCUCCUGUCACAACUGCAUACCUGAGACAGAAAUACUUUAAGAACGUAAUGAUUCUCUUAACAACUCUUUAAGGAAAAGAAGAAGAAGAAGAUGAAAGAGCAUAUAGCUACCUCUUUGUUGCAAGACUGGUUGACUCUUGGGCCAUGGCUGAUGGUGUGAAAGAUGAUAUCGGAUGAAUUUAGAAAGGAAAGCAGAAGUUAAUGGCUAUCUUACUGCCUGUAAGAAACUUCAAAUAGAUACGAUUCUUAUAUCCGUCACUAUCCCAUGGGCCAGGCCCUCCUAGGCAAAGGAUAAACAUCAGCCGAAGAAGGUGCAAAAAUCAAACUUCUUUCUAGAAAUAAUAUAAAAUAGACUUUUCUUUGUCAUAAAUUUUUUUAAAAAAAUUGUUGAUAGAAUAUCUUAGAAAGCUGCAGAAGACCAGGAAGGUAUGCUAUUGAAUGUUGAAUGGAUUUCAUCAAUGAAGAUCUUUGCUAAGGACCAAGAUUUUAGGAAUGGAUCACUGAUUAUAUUUGAUAUGUUGUUAUAUAAUAUUUUUGAAUUUUGAAUUGUCUUUGUUUUCAAGUAAAAUUCUAACUCUAUUUAAAGAGUAUUCUGAAAUCAAUAAUAUAAUUAUUCCAUAAAUUGGUAUGGGAGCAAUAGAUUUUCUUGAAGGACUUGUGAGUUGAGAGAAACAAAAACACAAACCAAAUCAAACCACAAACAAAACCAAAAAACACAAAAUGGAUUCUGAAACAAUCAUCUCACACGGUUCACCACCAAUCUUCAAUGGUGAAAACUACAAAACAUGGGCCAUCAGAAUGACAGUGCAUCUGGAGGCGUUAGAUCUCUAGAAAGCUAUGGAAGAAAACUAUGUUGUUCUUGACUUGCAUGCAAAUCCAACUGUAGCCCAAUUAAAGAUUCAUAGGGAGAAGAAGACAAGUCCAAGGCCAAAGCUUGCUUAUAUGCUGCAGUGUCGAAUACAGUAUUCAUAAGAAUCAUGAAUUUGGAUUCUGAAAAAGGUAUUUGGGAUUAUCUUAAAAAGGAAUAUCAAGGCAAUGAAAGAACUAAAAAUAUACAGGUUCUUAACUUAAUCAGAGAAUUUGAAAUGCAGAAGAGGAAGGAAAUCGAAAACAUCAAAGAUUAUGUUGACAGAUUGUUAAGCAUAAUAAACAAAGUAAGAUUGCUUGGAAAAGAAUUUUCUGAUGACAGAAUUGUGCAGAAAAUACUGGCCACUAUGCCUGAAAAAUAUGAGUUUAAGAUCUCUUUAUUAGAAGAGUCAAAAGACUUAACCAGCAUCUCUCUUGGAGAAUUGACAAAUGCAUUGCAGGCACAAGAACAGAGAAGAUCAAUGAGACUUGAAGAAUCAAUGCACGGAGCUUUUCAAGCAAGAACUCAAUGUCAAGGAGGAGGCAAAGACAAGAGAUUCAUUAAGAAGAAAAAUGUUCAAACUUACAGUAACAAGGUGGAAACAUUUCCACCAUGUACCUACUAUAAAAAAACAAAUCAGCAGCCAAUCAAGUGCUGGUGGAGACCAAAUAUCAAGUGCAGAAAAUGUGGACAAAUUGGACAUGUUGAAAUAAUCUGUAGGACACAACAAGAAGAAAAGGCGAAUCUUAUUGCACAACAACCUGAAGAGGAGCAGCUGUUUAUUGCAUCAUGUUUUUCAACAUGUAAUAGUUUGAAUGAUUCCUGGUUGAUUGAUAGUGGCUGCACAAACCACAUGACAAACAAUUAGGAUUUGUUCAAGGAACUUGACAAAACUGCUAUUUCCAAAGUUAAAAUUGGAAAUAGUGAUUAUAUUGAUGUCAAAGGCAAAUGAAUUGUUGUCUUAAACAGUCUGUCAGGUUUGAAGUAUAUUUCAGAUGUUUUAUAUGUGCCUAACAUUGAUAAAAACUUGCUUAGUGUUGGACAGCUUAUGGAAAAAGGUUUCAAAGUAAUAUUUGAAGAUCAAUGGUGUUUGAUCAAAGACAACUUGGGUAACAAUAUGUUCAGGGUAAAAACAAAAUCAAAAGGUUUUACUUAAAACCUUAUGAAGAACGAGUAGAGUGUGUUUUCUGCAAAAACAUGCAGUGACGAGCUGUGGCAUAAAAGAGUUGGACAUUUUCCAUCAUGCAGGGCUUAUGUAUAUGCAAUAACAUACUCUUGUAAAAGGAGUACCACAACUGGAGAACAAAUCAGCAAACUGUGCAGCAUGUCAAUAUGGAAAGCAGGUAAAAAAACCUUUCCCUCAUGCAACCUGGAGAGCAACAUGAAAACUUUAGUUAGUACAUACAAACGUUGGAGAUCCUCUAAGUACAGCUUCACUGAAUGGCAGCAGAUAUUAUAUCAUCUUCAUUGAUGAUUAUUCCAAGUUAUGUUGGAUUUUCUUUCUUAAAUUCAAAUCAGAAGUUGCUAACGUGUUCUGGAAGUAUAAAACAUGGAUGGAAAACCAAAGUGGGUGCAGGAUUCAGACAUUAAGAUUAGACAAUGAAAAUGAGUAUACCUGUGGGAUAUUUCAAUAAUUUUGUGAUGAAUUCAUAAUUGAACAUCAACUUAUUGCACCUUACACACCUCAACAGAAUGGUGUGAGUGAAAGAAAAAAAUAGGAGUAUCAUGGAAAUGACUAGAUGUAUGGUGCACGAAAAAGAGUUGCUAAAGAUAUUAUAGGUUGAAGCUGCAAAUACCUCAAUGUAUCUGCUGAACAGAGUGCCAACCAGAGCUUUGCAGGAAAAAAAAAAAACUCCUUUUGAAGCUUGGUUUAGAUACAAACUAGACCUAUAACAUUUGAAAAUUUUGUUGUAUUUGUUUCACUCAUGUACCAUAAUAAGUUGGAUAAGAAGUCAGAACCGGGAGUACUCAUUAGAUACAACAGUCCAUCAAAAGCUUAUAGAAUCUUCCAACCUCAAAAUGGAAGAAUUAUCGUAAGUAGAGACGUCAACUUUAUAGAAGAUAAACAAUAGAAGUGGGAGAAACCAGAAGAAAAGCUGGAAUCAUCAACAGAGAAGCAAGAAUCUCCAAUCUUGGAGAUUUUUAAUGACAACAUUGACGAUGAACCAAUAAGAAGUACAAGAUCAUUAGCUGAAAUUUAUCAAAGUAGCAAUAUUGAUAUAUGUGAACCUGCAGAAUUUGAAGAAGCAGUAAAGAAAAGUGAAUGGAUUGAAGCAAUGCAGGAGGAACUUAGAAUGAUUGAAAAGAACGAUACAUGGGUGCUGAUGGAUAAGCCUUUACACAAGAAGGCCAUAGGAUUCAAAUGGGUUUAUAGAACCAAACAAAAUAUAGAUGGUUCUAUAAACAAAUACAAGGCCAGAUUAGUUAUGAAGGGCUAUGCUCAAGUGUUCAGUGUGGAUUUUUCAAAAACGUUUGCACUAGUAGCACGCUUGGACAUAAUUAGAUUACUACUUGCAGUUGAUGCAUAAAAGAAUUGGAAAGUUUAUCAGCUAGAUGUAAAGUCUGCGUUUCUAAAUAGAUACCUGCAGGAGGAGAUUUAUAUAGAACAACUAAGAGGCUUUGAAGUCAAGGGACAAGAGGAGAAGGUCUACCUGCUAAAGAAAGCUUUGUAUGGCCUCAAACAAGCUCCUAGAGCAUGAUACAUUAGAAUUAAUGAUCAUCUACAUAAACUUGGCUUUGCUAAAAGUUUAAGUGAGGCCACGUUAUAUGUAAAAGGAGUUGAUGCAAACUUAAUUAUUGUAUCUGUUUAUGUUGAUAUUUACUUGUAACAGGAAGUAAUAAGACAUAAAUUAAAGAAUUCAAGGCAGAAAUGCUUGAUGUGUUUAAGAUGACAGAUCUUGGGUUGAUGUCUUACUUCUUUGGAAUGGAGGUGAAACAAAGUGAUGAUGGAAUCUUCAUAUGUCAACAGAAAUAUGCUAAAGAGAUAUUGAAGAAAUUUCACAUGGAAAGUUGCAAGAGCACAAGCACACCUAUGAAUCUUAAGGAAAAAAUCAGCAAGAAUGAUGGAACAAACAAAGCAGAUGAAGGUCAGUACAGAAGUUUAAUUGGAUGUUUAAUGUAUCUUACAGCUACAAGAUCAGACAUUGCAUUUGUUGUGAGCUUGUUGUCACGUUUUAUACAUUGUGCAAGUGAAUUGCAUCUUCAAGCUGCAAAAAGGACAGUAAAAUAUGUCAAAGGUACAAUAAGUUAUGGAAUAAAACUCUCUCAUCUUUAGAAUUUCAUGUUGUAUGGGUACUCUAAUAGUGACUAGGCAAGAUCUGUGGACGACAUGAAGAGCACCUCAAGCUACUGUUUUAGUUUUGGAUCAAGCAUGUUCUCUUGGUGUUCAAGGAAGCAAGAUAAUGUAGUUCAAAGCACAGCUGAAGCUGAAUAUGCAACAAAUACUGCUGUUGUUAAUCAGGCUAUUUGGAUAAGGAAAAUUCUUGUUGAUAUGCAUAUAAAUCAACUUGAACCAACAAAGAUUUAUGUCGACAAUCAAGCUACAAUUUCUAUUGCAAAAAUCCUAUGUUUCAUGGUAGAACUAAGCAUUUUAAAAUCAAAUUAUAUUUUCUAAGAGAAGUGCAGAAAAAAGAAGAAGUUAUUUUGCUAUAUUGUAGAACUAAUGUUCAGAUUGCAUAUGUUCUAACAAAAGCUCUUUCAAAAGCAAGUUUUGAAGAUUUACGAAGAAAGCUUGGUAUUUGAUGGUGUUAAAACAAAGAGGAAUGUUGAUAGAAUGUCUUAGAAAGCUGCAGAAGAUCACGAAGAUGUGUUGUUGAAUGUUGAAUGGAUUUCAUCAAUGAAAAUCUUUGUUGAAGACUAAGAUUUUAGAAAUAAAUCACUAAUUAUAUUUGAUUUGUUGUUAUGUAAUGUUUUUGAAUUAUGAAUUGUAUUUGUUUCCAAGUAAAACUCUAACUCUAUUUAAAGAAUAUUAUGAGAUCAAUAAUACAAUUAUUCCACAAAAAAAAAAUCUAAAGGUGAUUUUCUUUGAAUUUAUUUAGCCCGCAAUGGUUGAUUCAAAAUCAUUAAAGCAAUAGCUGGCCAGGAAGAUGACAAGUAAAUGAUGUGUUGAUGAAUUUGAUGAAAGCAGGUCGUUCAUUUUCGCCGUGCUACAAGAGCAAACAUGCUUAGUUGUUUUUAUGCGAUGCCUCCGUAUGGGUGUCGCUCUCUUACGAGUGGAAGGGGAGUAUUAUUGCAUGUUGGUGCCGCCAUAGAUUAUGAUAUCAUUCUAAGAUUUCAAUUCCUUCAUCAAAUAAAAGUGAAGGAUGUUAUGCUUUCGUUGGCCUCUUCUUCAACAACAGCAGCAGUGCUGUUUUUUAUUUUCUUGUUCAAUUAGAUGAUGUCAAUGCUUAUCUCAAUGCAUUUUAAUUAUUGCAAGAGAGCGUUUCCUCCACGCAAGAAGCGUUAAAAUUAAAAAAAUAAAAAGAAACCCUUUUUAUUAUUAUUUAUUUAUUUGUAUAUCUAUUAAUUGUUCUAUCAAGUAUGUCCCUUCAUGAUCCAAAAUUGGCCAUGCAUUGACAUAUAUAAAGUUUUCCAUUAAAUAUAUAUUUCUUUAAGAAGGCCAAUUAUAAGAAGAAAACAAGAAAAAGGAGAGAUUAUAGUUGAAGGAUUUGUGCACGUCUCCUUUCCUUAUUUCAGCAAAUUUGUCUUACAAGUUAGUUGAUUUCUUGAGUCUCUAUAAUACUAGUUUAUAAGCCAGCAUUAUCUUACGGGUUAGAUCAAAAAACUUUUGAAUGUAAAAAAACAAUAUUAAAAAUAUUCUUUGUUUGUUUAUGUAAAUAAAAAAUAAUUAAAAAUAAUUGUUGGGUGUUUGAUAUAUAUGAAAAAUAAGUGUUAAGAAGAAAAAAGAUAAAAUAUUUACUUUUUUUUAUUAUUAACAUGUGUAUUCGGAUCUACUUGCACGCAUCUCAAUUAAUCUCACGGAUACUAAAGUUAAUAACUAUGUAAGUCUUCAGUAACUCUAAAAUUUAUAGAACUCAAAUUGAUAACUUCUAAAAAAUAAAUUUAAAAUCUGACUAGAUAAGCUAUAUAUAACACAAUGACUUAUUGACCGAACUAAUAUUCUAACAUAUUUUUAUCUCUUGAAAACUGUAAAUUAUUUUCUCUUAUUUCAAAUUUGUUUUCUCUUUUAUUGUAAAAUAUUUCAAUGAUCAAAAAUGCAAUUCAUAUUAAAUCCAAAAAAAAAAAAUUAGGGCCUUCUAGAAACAAAACACAUACUUCAUACGUGUCACGAGUCCAUGUCUAGAAAUGAUUGCAGUGGUAGCUGAGGCUAUUAGAAAAGCCCAAUGUCCAAUUAAUUAGGCCUGUAAGCUAUUGGAUCUCAAUAACCCUCCUAGGCCCUAGCAGUAGACUGCUUUGGAAUUGCAGGCAAACAGGCUGAAGGUUUACUUUAAAGCUCUAGAAAAAUAAUUUAUUAAACCCGCUAACAAGGAUUAGGAUCCAAAAUAUAAUUUAGUGGGUCAAGUUGAUUCCGAUCGAUUCAAGCUUCAAACCGGACUAUUUAUUGUGUUAUUAGUACUAUUUCUAUGAUAUUAGGGUACACUGUACAAAGCACAUAUUGAUUAUUUUGAAACAUAAUACAGGAAAGCAACAUGCGAUUAUAAUCCAUGACAGCUUCUUCCUUUUCUCUCUAGCUAAUUCUCUCUCUUAUUCUAUUAUGAGUCUCCGAGGUAACUUGACAGAGAAUUAAGAUGUCACGAGGUUCUACAUUAAUCUUGCUGAAAGGAAAAUGCAUAGAACAGGUUGCUGUUCUAUUCAUUUUCAAUUCAGCAAGGUUAAUUUAUCCAAGAUCAUAGUGGGGUUGUUUUGCACUCAGAAACAAGAUAAUUUAUCCAGAAUGAAAAGGAAGCCAGAAGGUCCUCCAUCAGGAAGCAGCGCCAAUUUCACAGGAUACACUGCAGCUUCAUCAACCGAUAAGGUGCCGGUAUUAUUGCUCAUAUCUGUUUUGACAGACCCUGGACAGAUGCAAUUAAUGCAGAAAUUGGGGUGCUUCUUGGCUAGAAUCCUUGUGUGAGCAUUCAUGGCUGCUUUUGAGAGUACAUAGGCUGACAGUAAGGCUUAAUAAUUCAUCUAUUCUCUCCUCUGUAAAGGUAUCAACAUCACUGAACACUCCUUUAGCCCAUUCAUCUGGUAUAUUCUGAAAAAGGUGAAAAAUAACGCUUCAACUUUAAUUUGAAGCUGCUGAAGCGUCCGAGUCUAUUGUGGUUCCACGGAUCGCUGCAUUGUUCACCUGCAUAUGUUUCAAGCAGCCAUCAUGUCUUAGUUCUUCCACGUUACAGAACUCAGCAAUAUGAACAAUUUAUCAGGUUCGUUUGAACUAUUUUCAAGAACUUUAUAUCCCUUGACCUUAGUAACUGUAUAGUCGUUUACUUACAAAGAAAAAUAACAAUGGAAGUUGUUAGCAUAGCAAUUUUGAAAUUUUUUACUGAACCCUCUACUGCGACACCUUACUGUCUAAACCACUUCCUCAUUUGAAUGUGAGGUUGAAGAAAUACGGAAGCAGGAAAAUCAAGAUGAAGACAAUUUCUAAACUUAACCGAACUUUUACUUUUCCAUCUGGUAAUUCAUUAAACUGAGAAGAUUAACGCUAAACUGACUUUAGCACCAGAGGUUUUGUGUAAAUUGGCUCUCGGUCGUACCAAAAUAUCAAGUUUUCCAUAUUGACUUCUGAUGAAAUCAGCAAGAGAUGCAAAACUUGCAGGAUCCAUUACAUCAAGCAGAUGAAAGACCACAUGAUCGGAGAGACCAGAUUCGUUCAGUUUCUCAACAGCUUCAAGACCUCUCGAUCAUCUCUAGUUGUUAGCACCACCAUCACCCCCUUAGACGCCAACAGUUUUACUAUUCCCCAACCAAGCCCCUUGUUUGAUCCUGUAACAACUGCAUACCUAGCAAAAGAAUUUUCCCGGAAAAAAACUGUGGUCAGCAAAGAGAGAUUAACGUCAUCAGAAGCCAUGUAGGAAGUGUUGGAGAUACAAGUAAUGAUUCUUACCUCUUUGCUGAUUCUUCCAUAGAUGAUGAGGUACUGAAAUAUGAGCAUUACGAAUUCAUUUUUAUAAGGUUUUGUGGUUAGCUUAAUAUCACAGCAGUAUAUUCCUGACACUCUAGUGGGAGGACUGAGGAUAGGUCAGCUUUCUUUCGUCUUUCAUGUCCGUCUUGCGCGCAAUAAUCUGCUGAUGCAUCAAGCUGUCUGUCUUGCGCGCACAUAUAUUUAUAUAUAUUGAUUGCAUUGAUUGUUUCGUCUUUAAACUACUGAAAUUAAAAAUAAAUAAAGCAACUAUCCGGCACCCUUCACAUUGAUCAACAUAAAAUUCUAUUUCCAUCAUUAACAGAUUCCGAGUCCUCAAUUCUCAGACAUACAAACCAAAACUAGACGAAGACAGAGUGUGAGCAUCCAAGAAUGUGUUUGCAUUUUACAAUAGGCAAUUUAUAGAAAUCCAAAUCUCAUCAUAAUAUGUUAAGUUACUUCCAUCAUAAGGUUAGCUUGAUGCCUAUCAUUUCUCGCUUUAUGUGAAACAAAAUAAAGGACGCUGCGUAUCGGUCUCAUUCAUAUGCAUAGAUUUAGCUCAGAACUGAGUUUAAUCCAAUAAUACAUAAUGUUGUAAGACUACUUUAUCCAUCAGAAUCAUCUACUCAUUGUCAAAUGUGACCUGGUGCUUCGUAUUCCUGGAUUUCAUAAUUGGAGCAUUGCCAGAAUUGUAUUCCACGGGGCAUGAAUCUGGUUCAAUAUAUAACACGUGUUGGUGAUAAUAGCACAUUACACUCUGGAGAUAAUCAAGGCAGCAAUCAACGAGAAAAUCACUCCUAGCAUCAAGGAUCAAUCCAUGGAAAUCAAGACGUUAUGAGGAGCUGAUUAGUUGUGUAUAUAGAAUCUUAAAUAGCUUUUCUUAUAGAGCUGAUACUGUUAUUAUUAUCAGAUUGUAUUUGAUACUGUUAUUAUUAUUAGGCUGUAAUAGUUUUCUAUAUAAUGCAACAUUCUAAACCAUAAGCAUUACGCUGUGGUUUUCAUUAUUAUCUCUAAAACUCUACAACUGGAAGAUAAACUGCAACUUCUCACACAUCUAGACAAUAUCUUUCAGCUUAACCCGUCUGGGAUGAGAAUACAUCGACGAGAAAAUUUUCAAAACCCUGUAGCCGUUUUCUACAUCAUGAUUAUCAUGUUUGAUUUUCAUUCAAAAGCACGGUAGCAUUUGUUUCUGAUAAAAGAAACAACCAGAAGGCCCACCAUCAGGCAGCAAUGCCAAUCUCACAGCAUUUUCGGCUCCUUCGGCAGCGGUGAAGGGACCGGUGUUGGUAGUUAUGUCAGUUUUGCAAUAGCCAGGGCAGAGACAAUUGACGCGGAAGCUUGGAUACUUCUUGGCCAGAAUCCUUGUGUAGGCACUCAUGGCAGCUUUAGCAACAAUAUAGGCAGACAGAUAAGUUGGCCAGCCUUUGGAUCCCAACAAAUCUUCUUUAAAAUCUUUAAGAAACUCGUUCACAACCUCGUCUAGUCUAUCUUCAUUGAGAUUUUCAACAUCAUUCAACAAUCCUUUGGCCCAUUCAUUGGGUAUGUUCUAAGCCACAUAACAGGAAAAAAAACUCUGGUAAGACUGCUUAUAGAAAUGCUGCAAGUACAAGACUAUUCCUGUAAUGUUAAUCGUUAUGAGCUAACACAGGAAGUGAAUUUGCAUUUGCGGAACAAUGUGUGCAUGAAAGUACCAAGCAGGGGAGAAUAUGACAAACAGAGAUUAUAGGAAAAAUCAUGUUUUCUAGGAGUUGUAUUCUUGGACAUUACCAUAAAGAAAGUACGAUAAUUCAGAAUAAGAAAGCAUGUAAAUGUUACUGCACAUCAACCAGUCUAGAAGUCAAAUUUGAAGAUCAGACAACUGCUAGUUUCAAUCUGGACCAAAAUACCAAGACUCCAUUAUUGAAAGACAGUCGUGUACCUUUAAAAGCCCCAGCAGUGAAGAGACAUUUACAAUUCUUGGUGAAUCAGACAGCUGUAGGAGGGGCGCAAGUGCUUCAGCCAUUCCUCUUGCACCAUAGUAGUUUGUUUUCACACAUUGUUCUGCCAUCUCAUAAUUUUGAGUUCCAAUUUCAUCCCACACUUGCUCCCCAGAUGGCUGCAUUUGAACAAAAGAAAUUUAGACCCUCUCCAACACUUCAUAGACCAUAUCCACGGAAACAAAUGAAAAUCCACUUAAUUUACUACUCAAAAUAACCUCAAUAUCCGUUAAAUGAUGAUUAAAAGCGAUAAUUAGUCCCAAUACCUGAUUCCUGGUCUAUCAAAGGGUUACGUAAAUAUAGAUAGCACAGGCAAUGAUCUUCCGAGUGAUUAGUCUAUCUAUGACUUGCGUCCUUCUCUUGUAGUCAUUACAAUAUAAAGACUUACAAAUUCACCAGCUUGUUCAAAGGCUCUUUGAAAAGCAUCUGCCUCUAGUGCAACUCCACCAAUCCCAGCAUUGUUCACCUGCACAAGAUUACAAGAUUUUCAAGAAACUAUCAGAUAAACAUAAAUAAAUAAAAGGAUUAGCCCAAGAAAUUCAUUACUUCAUACCAAGAUGUCAAGUUUUCCGAAAUUAUUUUUCACAAAUUCAGCAAGGGAAAUAAUGCUAUCAGGGUCAACUACAUCAAGUUGAUGGUAAAUCACAAGGUCAUCAGAGAUGCCAGAAUCUUUCAGCUUUUGAACAGCUUCAAGACCCCUUUUUUCAUCUCUGGCUGUUAACACCACCAAAAUCCCAUUAGAAGCCAACUGCCUACAUAUCUCAUAUCCAAUCCCCUUGUUUGCUCCUGUCACAACUGCAUACCUGAGACAGAAAUACUUUAAGAACGUAAUGAUUCUCUUAACAACUCUUUAAGGAAAAAAAGAAGAAGAAGAUGAAAGAGCAUAUAGCUACCUCUUUGUUGCAAGACUGGUUGACUCUUGGGCCAUAGCUGAUGGUGUGAAAGAUGAUAUCGGAUGAAUUUAGAAAGGAAAGCAGAAGUUAAUGGCUAUCUUACUGCCUGUAAGAAAUAUCAAAUAGAUUCGAUUCUUAUAUCCGUCACUAUCCCAUGUGCCAGGCCCUCCUAGGCAAAGGAUAAACAUCAGCCGAAGAAGGUGCAGAUUAAAAAAAUAUUGAUAAAAUAUCUUAGAAAGCUACAGAAAACCAGGAAGGUGUGCUAUUGAAUGUUAAAUGGAUUUCGUCAAUGAAGAUCUUUGCUAAAGACCAAGAUUUUAGGAAUAAAUCACUGAUCAUAUUUGAUUUGUUGUUAUAUAAUGUUUUUGAAUUUUGAAUUGUUUUUGUUUCCAAGUAAAACUCUAACUCUAUUUAAAGAGUAUUCUAAGAUCAAUAAUACAACUAUUCCAAAAAAAAAACAAAAAAUCUAAAGGUGAUUUUCUUUGAAUUUAUUUAGCCCGCACUGUUUGAUUCAAAAUCAUUAAAGCAAUAGCUGGCCAGGAAGAUGACAAGUAAAUGGUGUGCUGAUGAAUUUGAUGAAAGCAGGUCGUUCUUUUUCGCCGUGCAUAAAUAUCAAACAUGCUUAGUUGUUUUUAUGCGAUGCCUCUGUAUGGAAGAGGAAUAUUAUUGCAUGUUGGUGCCGUAUCAUUCAUCUCCAUAGAUUAUGAUAUCAUUCUAAGAUUUCAAUACCUUUAUCAAAUAAAAGUGAAGCUUUAUUUACUGCGCAAUACACCUCCAUAAAUAGGGGAGGUGUAUUUUCUAUAUUAUACGUUAUGUUCUUUAUUUUCUUGUUCAAUUAGAUGUUGUCAAUGCUUAUCUCAAUGCAUUUUAAUUAUUGCAAGAGAGCGUUUCCUCCACGCAAGAAGCAUUAAAAUUUAAAAAAUAAAAAGGAACCCUUUAAUAUUAUUAUUUAUUAUUUGUAUAUCUAUUAAUUGUUCUAUCAAGUAUGUCCCUUCAUGAUCCAAAAUUGGCCAUGCAUUGACAUAAAUAAAGUUUUCCAUUAAAUAUAUAUUUCUUUAAGAAGGCCAAUUAUAAGAAGAAAACAAGAAAAAGGAGAGAUUAUAGUGGAAGGGUUGGUGUACGUCUCCUUUCCUUAAUUUAGCAAUUUGUUUUACAAGUUAGUUGAUUUCUUGAGUCUCUAUAAUACUAGUUUAUAAGCCAGCAUUAUCUUACAGGUUAGAUCAAAAUACUUUUGAAUGUGAAAAAAAAUAUUAAAAUUUUCUUUGUUUGUUUAUGUAAAUAAAAAAUAAUUAAAAAUAAUUGUUGGGUGUUUGAUAUAUGUGAAAAAUAAGUGAUGAGAAGAAAAAAGAUAAAAUAUUUAGUUUUUAUUAUUAUUAACAUGCCUAUUCAGACUUAUUUGCACACAUCUCAACUAAUCUUACGGGUCCUGAAAUUAAUAACUAUGUAAUUCUCCAAUAACUCUUAAAUUUAUAGGACUCGAAUUAAUAACCUCUAGAAAAUAAAUUUAAAAUCUGAUCAAAUGAGCUAUAUAUAUAAUACAAUGACUUCCUCAACGAACUAAUAUUCUAACAUAUUUUUAUCUCUUGAAAACUGUAAAUUAUUUUCUCUUAUUUCAAAUUUAUUUUCUCUUUUAUUGUAAAAUAUUUUAAUGGACCAAAAAUGCUAUUCAUAUUAAAUCUAAAACAUAAAAAAAUAGUUUAGGGCAUUUAGAAAGAAAACACAUACUUCAUACGUGUCACGAGUCCAUGUCUAGAAAUGGUACAGUGCUUAAAAUUGGCAACUUGGGUAGCUAAGGCUAUUAGGAAAGCCCAAUGUCCAAUUAAUUAGGCCUGUAAGCUAUUCGAUCUCAAUAACCCUCCUAGGCCCUAGCAGUAGACUGCUCUGGAAUUGCAGGCAAACGGGCUGAAGGUUUAUUUUAAGGCUCCAGAAAAAUAAAUUUAUUAAACCCACUAACCAGGUUUAGGAUCCAAGUUUAACAGAUUAUUGAUUUCGAUCAAUUCCAUAUCAAGCUAUUUGUUAUGUUAUUAGUAUUAUUUCUAUGAUAUUAGGGUACACUGUACAAAGCACAUAUUGAUUAUUUUGAAACAUAAUACAGGAAAGCAACAUGCGAUUAUAAUCCACGACAGCUUCUUCCUUUUCUCUAGCGAUUAUAAUCUAUUAUGAGUCUCCGAGGUAACUUGACAAAGAGAAUUAAGAUGUCACGAGGUUCUACAUUAAUCUUGCUGAAAGGAAAAUGCAUAGAACAGGUUGCUGUUCUAUUCAUUUUCCAUUCAGCAAAGGUUAAUUCAUCCAAGAUCAUAGUGGGUUGUUUCGCAUUCAGAAACAAGAUAAUUUAUCCAGAAUGAAAAAGAAGCCAGAAGGUCCUCCAUCGGGAAGCAGCGCCAAUUUCACAGGAUACACUGCAGCUUCAUCAACCGAUAAUGGAAGUUGUUUGCAUAGCAAUUUCGAAUUUUUUUACUGAACCCUCUACUGCGACACCUUACUGUCUAAACCACUUCCUUAUUUGAAUGUGAGGUUGAAGAAAUACGGAAGCAGGAAAAUCAAGAUGAAGACAAUUUCUAAACUUAACCGAACUUUUACUUUUCCAUCUGGCAAUUCAUUAAACUGAGAAGAUUAACGCUAAACUGACUUUAGCACCACAGGUUUUGUGUAAAUUGGCUCUCGGUCGUACCAAAAUAUCAAGUUUUCCAUAUUGACUUCUGAUGAAAGACCACAUGAUCGGAGAGACCAGAUUCGUUCAGUUUCUCAACAGCUUCAAGACCUCUCGUUUCAUCUCUAGCUGUUAGCACUACCAUCACCCUCUUGGACGCCAUCAGUUUUACUAUUCCCAAACCAAGCCCCUUGUUUGCUCCUGUAAAAACUGCAUACCUAGCAAAAGAAUUUUCCGCAAAAAAGCUGUGGUCAGCAAAGAGAGAUUAACGUCAUCAGAAGCCAUGGAGGAAGUGUUGGAGAUACAAGUAAUGAUUCUUACCUCUUUGCUGAUUCUUCCAUAGAUGAUGAGGUACUGAAAUAUGAGCAUUAUGAAUUCAUUUUUAUAUGGUUUUGUGGUUAGCUUAAUAUCACAGCAGUAUAUUCUUGACACUCUAGUGGGAGGACUGAGGAUAGGUCAGCUUUGCUUCGUCUUUCUUGUCUGUCUUGCGCGCAAUGAUCUGCUGAUGCAUCAAGCUGUCUGUCUUGCGCGCACAUAUAUUUAUAUAUAUUGAUUGCAUUGAUUGUUUCGUCUUUAAACUACUGAAAUUAAAAAUAAAUAAAGCAACUAUCUGGCACCCUUCACAUAGAUCAACAUAAAAUUCUAUUUCCAUCAUUAACAGAAUUGGAGCAUUGCCAGAAUUGUAUUCCUGGAUUUCAUAAUUGGAGCAUUGCCAGAAUUGUAUUCCACAGGGCAUGAAUCUGGUUCAAUAUAUAACUGGAAGAUAAACUGCAACUUCUCACACAUCUAGACAAUAUCUUUCAGCUUAACCUGUCUGGGAUGACAAUACAUCGACGAGAAAAUUUUCAAAACCCUGUAGCCGUUUUCUACAUCAUGAUUAUCAUGUUUGAUUUUCAUUCAAAAGCACUGUAGCAUUUGUUUCUGAUGAAAGAAACAACCAGAAGGCCCACCAUCAGGCAGCAAUGCCAAUCUCACGGCAUUUUCGGCUCCUUCGGCAGCGGUGAAGGGGCCGGUGUUGGUAGUUAUGUCAGUUUUGCAAAAGCCAGGGCAGAGACAAUUGACGCGGAAGCUUGGAUACUUCUUGGCCAGAAUCCUUGUGUAGGCACUCAUGGCAGCUUUAGCAACAAUAUAGGCAGACAGAUAAGUUGGCCAGCCUUUGGAUCCCAACAAAUCUUCUUUAAAAUCUGUAAGAAACUCGUUCACAACCUCGUCUAGUCUAUCUUCAUUGAGAUUUUCAACAUCAUUCAACAAUCCUUUGGCCCAUUCAUUGGGUAUGUUCUAAGCCACAUAACAGGAAAAAAAAACUCUGGUAAGACUGCUUAUAGAAAUGCUGCAAGUAAUAGUCUGAGCUGAAUGAAACACAAAUUCAGAGGAUAUUAAAUACAAGCCUAUUCCUGUGAUGUUAAUUGUUAUGAGCUAACACAGGAAGCGAAUUUGCAUUUGCGGAACAAUGUGUGCAUGAAAGUAGCAAGCAGGGGACAAACAGAGAUUAUAGGAAAAAUCAUGUUUUCUAGGAGUUGUAUUCUUGGACAUUACCAUAAAGAAAGUACGAUAAUUCAGAAUAAGAAAGCAUAUAAAUGUUACUGCACAUCAACCAGUCUAGAAGUCAAAUUCAGAAUAAGAAGGCUCCAUUCUUGAAAGACAGUCGCGUACCUUUAAGAGCCCCAGCAGUGAAGAGACAUUUACAAUUCUUGGUGAAUCAGACAACUGUAGGAGGGGCGCAAGUGCUUCAGCCAUUCCUCUUGCACCAUAGUAGUUUGUUUUCACACAUUGUUCUGCCAUCUCAUAAUUUUGAGUUCCAAUUUCAUCCCACACUUGCUCCCCAGAUGGCUGCAUUUGAACAAAAGAAUUUUAGACCCUCUCCAACACUUCAUAGACCAUAUCCACGGAAACAAAUGAAAAUCUACUUAAUUUACUACUCAAAAUAACCUCAAUAUCCGUUAAAUGAUGAUUACAAGCAAUAAUUAGUCCCAAUGCCUGAUUCGUGGUCUAUCAAAGGGUUACGUAAAUAUAGAUAGCACAGGCAAUGAUCUUCCGAGUGAUUAGUCUAUCUAUGACUUGCGUCCUUCUCUUGUAGUCAUUACAAUAUAAAGACUUACAAAUUCACCAGUUUGUUCAAAGGCUCUUUGAAAAGCAUCUGCCUCUAGUGCAACUCCACCAAUCCCAGCAUUGUUCACCUGCACAAGAUUACAAGAUUUUCAAGAAACUAUCAGAUAAACAUAAAUAAAUAAAAGGAUUAGCCCAAGAAAUUCAUUGCUUCAUACCAAGAUGUCAAGUUUUCCAAAAUUAUUUUUCACAAAUUCAGCAAGGGAAAUAAUGCUAUCAGGGUCAAGCACAUCAAGUUGAUGGUAAAUCACAAGGUCAUCAGAGAUGCCAGAAUCUUUCAGCUUUUGAGCAGCUUCAAGACCCCUUUUUUCAUCUCUGGCUGUUAACACCACCAAAAUCCCAUUAGAAGCCAACUGCCUACAUAUCUCAUAUCCAAUCCCCUUGUUUGCUCCU